rnacentral:rRNA from 1 species
CCUGGCGGCAGUAGCGCGGGGGGCCCACCUGACCCCAUGCCGAACUCAGAAGUGAAACGCCGUAGCGCCGAUGGUAGUGUGGGGUCUCCCCAUGCGAGAGUAGGGAACUGCCAGGC